rnacentral:rRNA from 1 species
GACGAACGCUGGCGGCGUGCUUAACACAUGCAAGUCGAACGCUGAAGACCUGGCUUUUGUUGGGUUGGAUGAGUGGCGAACGGGUGAGUAACACGUGAGUAACCUGCCCUCUUCUUUGGGAUAACGCCCGGAAACGGGUGCUAAUACUGGAUAUUCACUGGCCUUCGCAUGGGGGUUGGUGGAAAGGUUUGUUCUGGUGGGGGAUGGGCUCGCGGCCUAUCAGCUUGUUGGUGGGGUGAUGGCCUACCAAGGCUUUGACGGGUAGCCGGCCUGAGAGGGUGACCGGUCACAUUGGGACUGAGAUACGGCCCAGACUCCUACGGGAGGCAGCAGUGGGGAAUAUUGCACAAUGGGCGAAAGCCUGAUGCAGCGACGCCGCGUGAGGGAUGGAGGCCUUCGGGUUGUAAACCUCUUUCGCUCAUGGUCAAGCCGCAACUGUGGGUUGUGGUGAGGGUAGUGGGUAAAGAAGCGCCGGCUAACUACGUGCCAGCAGCCGCGGUAAUACGUAGGGCGCGAGCGUUGUCCGGAAUUAUUGGGCGUAAAGGGCUUGUAGGCGGUUGGUCGCGUCUGCCGUGAAAUUCUCUGGCUUAACUGGGGGCGUGCGGUGGGUACGGGCUGACUUGAGUGCGGUAGGGGAGACUGGAACUCCUGGUGUAGCGGUGGAAUGCGCAGAUAUCAGGAAGAACACCGGUGGCGAAGGCGGGUCUCUGGGCCGUUAC